AUUGAACGCUGGCGGCAUGCCUUACACAUGCAAGUCGAACGGCGGCACGGGAGCAAUCCUGGUGGCGAGUGGCGAACGGGUGAGUAAUAUAUCGGAACGUGCCCAGUAGUGGGGGAUAACUGCUCGAAAGAGCAGCUAAUACCGCAUACGACCUGAGGGUGAAAGGGGGGGAUCGCAAGACCUCUCGCUAUUGGAGCGGCCGAUAUCAGAUUAGCUAGUUGGUGGGGUAAAGGCCUACCAAGGCAACGAUCUGUAGUUGGUCUGAGAGGACGACCAGCCACACUGGGACUGAGGCACGGCCCAGACUCCUACGGGAGGCAGCAGUGGGGAAUUUUGGACAAUGGGCGCAAGCCUGAUCCAGCAAUGCCGCGUGCAGGAAGAAGGCCUUCGGGUUGUAAACUGCUUUUGUCAGGGAAGAAAUCCUCUAGGUUAAUACCCUUGGGGGGAUGACGGUACCUGAAGAAUAAGCACCGGCUAACUACGUGCCAGCCGCCGCCGUAACAC
rnacentral:rRNA from 1 species